ACCACCAUCGGUCUCCCCGCGUUCAGCCGCAUCCCCGACGCCAUCUUCCCCUUCCCGGUUCGCCUUGAAGCGUCGGAUUGAUUCACAACCUCUGCCUCCACCAUUGCUGUAAUGUUCAAGCUCGUCACUGGCACCGCUUGGUUCUAGUUGUCAUGGACCAGGAUGUCGACAAGAUCUGGAGCAGUAGCCCAGUGAUCCGUGAAUGGGCCUUGGCCCAGGUUCCCCUCCCGGCGUCAGUCCUCUAUCCUGCGCCAGCAGCAGCCCAGAUCCGGCCCAGAAACAGCGCAGCAUUUGCUUCUUCCCGGAUAGGAUCCCGAAGUG